CACGUGAAGAACCGAAACACGGCCAUCAUUCAUGGCCUAUGUGAGCUGCAGGCAUUAUCCUGGCAGGAGGCUGAGGAGGUGUUCCUUCGUGGCCCUACUUAUCACCCUAGUGAAGUUGAGGAAUUUGACCGGGUGAUUGCAAAAAGAAUGAGAAAAGAAGCAACAUUUGCCUCCCAGAAACAAGAUGACAGUGAUUAAGGUGAUCGUUAAAUAAAGUACAGAAUUGUUCAUUAUUGGUGUUUUGUCUAUUAUUUGAGUUUUGCUUCACAUUCAAAAUAUCAAAAAACAGGUUUUGUAAUGUUAGCAUGGUAUAAUGUUAAUUAGACCAUUAUAUGUUGAGCUGAAAG